AUUGAACGCUGGCGGCAUGCCUUACACAUGCAAGUCGAACGGUAACAGGUUAAGCUGACGAGUGGCGAACGGGUGAGUAAUGUAUCGGAACGUGCCCAGUCGUGGGGGAUAACUACUCGAAAGAGUGGCUAAUACCGCAUACGACCUGAGGGUGAAAGCGGGGGACCGUAAGGCCUCGCGCGAUUGGAGCGGCCGAUAUCAGAUUGGCUAGUUGGUGGGGUAAAAGCCCACCAAGGCGACGAUCUGUAGCUGGUCUGAGAGGACGACCAGCCACACUGGGACUGAGACACGGCCCAGACUCCUACGGGAGGCAGCAGUGGGGAAUUUUGGACAAUGGACGCAAGUCUGAUCCAGCCAUGCCGCGUGCGGGAAGAAGGCUUCGGGUUGUAAACCGCUUUUGUCAGGGAAGAAACGAGUUUCUCUAAUACAGAGACUUAAUGACGGUACCUGAAGAAUAAGCACCGGCUAACUACGUGCCAGCCGCCGCGGUAAGAC
rnacentral:rRNA from 1 species